CGACGUCACCUUCUCUCACGGCACCAUUAUCGAUUUCCAUGGUUGGAAAUGUAUAAAAUCAGUUUGUCUCUAUUUCUCUGGACUUUUGCAGACCACCUCUGUCUUCCAUUGACAUUUCGACACUUAAUUUCUCUAUUCCAAGGAAAAUGUUGCCAAUCCAUAUGAGCGAUUUGGCGUAAUCUUCGUGCCAAAAUCAAAUCUCAACAUUGUCGGUGACUACCUCAUGAAGGACGUCGCCGCGCCUGUCAAGGACCAGCAGAAAUUGAAAUCCAGGCUGAUGUCGGUGGCAGCACAGAAAUUUGUGGAUUGCCCAUGGCUGUUGAGAUUUCCAGUGUACCACAAUCUACCCCACACCAACUAUAACUCCAAGCAAAAGUCAACCUGCAACCCAUGGAACAACUGCAUCAUUGGAGUCUGUAGAUAUCACAGAACUGAAAUUGCUGCUCUCCAGUCCACAGCAGGCAUACCCACGUACAAAGCAUUUGUGUUCAUUUCUCUACCAUAAGCCGCUUCCAACAUCGUUUUAGAGAAUUUGGCAGUACGUCUAACCGGCCUCACAACCGCAGACCACGU